GGAAGUAAAAGUCGUAACAAAGUUUCCGUAGGUGAACCUGCGGAAGGAUCAUUAUUGUAUAACCGAGGUGCGAGGGCUGUCGCUGACCCGAAAGGUCGUGCACGCCCGAGUGCCCUCACACACAUCCAUCUCACCCCUAUGUGCACCACCGCGUGGGUCCCUCUUUGGCUUGUUCGGAGGGGGGCUUACGUUUUCACACAAACUUUGUAUGCAGUGUAGAAUGUAUUUUUUGUUUUUGCGAUCACGCAAUCAAUACAACUUUCAACAACGGAUCUCUUGGCUCUC
rnacentral:misc_RNA from 1 species